rnacentral:rRNA from 4 species
UCUAAUACCGGAUACUGAUCCUCGCAGGCAUCUGCGAGGUUCGAAAGCUCCGGCGGUGCAGGAUGAGCCCGCGGCCUAUCAGCUAGUUGGUGAGGUAACGGCUCACCAAGGCGACGACGGG